GAUGAACGCUGGCGGCGUGCCUAAUACAUGCAAGUCGAGCGAGCAGACGAGGAGCUUGCUCCUCUGACGGUAGCGGCGGACGGGUGCGUAACACGUGGAUAACCUACCUAUAAGACUGGGAUAACUUCGGGAAACCGUAUCUAAUACCGGAUAAUAUAUUGAACCGCAUGGUUCAAUCGUUAAAUACGGUUUUUCUGUGACUUAUAGACGGACCCGCGUCGCAUUAGCUAGUUGGUAAGGUAACGGCUUACCAAGGCAACGACGCGUAGCCGACCUGAGAGGGUGAACGGCCACAUGGGAACUGAGGAUCGGUCCAGACUCCUACGGGAGGAAGCAGUAGAGAAUCCUACGCAAUGGACGAGAGCCUGACGGAGCAACGCCGCGUGAGUGAUGAAGGUGUUAGGAUCGGAGAACUCUGUUAUUAGGAGAGAACAAAUGUGCAAGUAACUAUGCACGUCUUGACGGUACCUAAUCAGAAAGCCACGGCUAACUACGUG
rnacentral:rRNA from 1 species